AGGUUUUAUGAUUUUACUCUAAUCGGGCUAGCAUGUCCCACUUCCGCAACUAAUAUCUCUCUAUUGCUUCUUUCUCUUGGCUGCCAAGGUUUUAUGAUUUUACUCUAAUCAGGCUAGCAUAUCCCACUUCCGCAACUAAUAUCUCUCUGUGCUUCUUUCUCUUGGCUGCCAAGAUCCAGGUCCCGGACAGCAGCAGUAGCUCGGGAGCCA